rnacentral:rRNA from 1 species
GAUGAACGCUGGCGGCGUGCCUAAUACAUGCAAGUCGAGCGAACGGACGAGAAGCUUGCUUCUCUGAUGUUAGCGGCGGACGGGUGAGUAACACGUGGAUAACCUACCUAUAAGACUGGGAUAACUUCGGGAAACCGGAGCUAAUACCGGAUAAUAUUUUGAACCGCAUGGUUCAAAAGUGAAAGACGGUCUUGCUGUCACUUAUAGAUGGAUCCGCGCUGCAUUAGCUAGUUGGUAAGGUAACGGCUUACCAAGGCAACGAUGCAUAGCCGACCUGAGAGGGUGAUCGGCCACACUGGAACUGAGACACGGUCCAGACUCCUACGGGAGGCAGCAGUAGGGAAUCUUCCGCAAUGGGCGAAAGCCUGACGGAGCAACGCCGCGUGAGUGAUGAAGGUCUUCGGAUCGUAAAACUCUGUUAUUAGGGAAGAACAUAUGUGUAAGUAACUGUGCACAUCUUGACGGUACCUAAUCAGAAAGCCACGGCUAACUACGUGCCAGCAGCCGCGGGUAUACGUAGGUGGCAAGCGUUAUCCGGAAUUAUUGGGCGUNAAGCGCGCGUAGCGGUUUUUUAAGUCUGAUGUGAAAGCCCACGGCUCAACCGUGGAGGGUCAUUGGAAACUGGAAAACUUGAGUGCAGAAGAGGAAAGUGGAAUUCCAUGUGUAGCGGUGAAAUGCGCAGAGAUAUGGAGGAACACCAGUGGCGAAGGCGACUUUCUGGUCUGUAACUGACGCUGAUGUGCGAAAGCGUGGGGAUCAAACAGGAUUAGAUACCCUGGUAGUCCACGCCGUAAACGAUGAGUGCUAAGUGUUAGGGGGUUUCCGCCCCUUAGUGCUGCAGCUAACGCAUUAAGCACUCCGCCUGGGGAGUACGACCGCAAGGUUGAAACUCAAAGGAAUUGACGGGGACCCGCACAAGCGGUGGAGCAUGUGGUUUAAUUCGAAGCAACGCGAAGAACCUUACCAAAUCUUGACAUCCUUUGACAACUCUAGAGAUAGAGCCUUCCCCUUCGGGGGACAAAGUGACAGGUGGUGCAUGGUUGUCGUCAGCUCGUGUCGUGAGAUGUUGGGUUAAGUCCCGCAACGAGCGCAACCCUUAAGCUUAGUUGCCAUCAUUAAGUUGGGCACUCUAAGUUGACUGCCGGUGACAAACCGGAGGAAGGUGGGGAUGACGUCAAAUCAUCAUGCCCCUUAUGAUUUGGGCUACACACGUGCUACAAUGGACAAUACAAAGGGCAGCGAAACCGCGAGGUCAAGCAAAUCCCAUAAAGUUGUUCUCAGUUCGGAUUGUAGUCUGCAACUCGACUACAUGAAGCUGGAAUCGCUAGUAAUCGUAGAUCAGCAUGCUACGGUGAAUACGUUCCCGGGUCU